ensembl:lincRNA
AUGUUUGAACUGUUGAGUGUGGAGGGUUUUGAAGAUGUGCAGGGAGUGACUGCAGUCUACACCAGAAACGCAUUAAAGAGUGACUUUGUUUCUGUCUUUGCAGAGGAAGAAGCUGGAGACCUGGUCCAGCCGGGCAUCAGCUUUCCGGGGCCGGCAGAGGAGGAUCUAGACCCGCAGUACUCAUGGUCGCCCACGCAGCACUUCAAUGAGGAGCGCUACUCGCCCGCGCCCAGGAGCAUGAAGGGCCUUUCCGGAAGUCGGACCCAGCCGCCGCUGUGUUCCGGGCACACGUGUGGUCUGGCGCCCCCAGAGGACUGCGAGCACCUGCACCACGGGCCCGACGCGCGGCCGCCCUACCUGCUGAGCCCCGCCGACAGCUGCCCCGGGGGGCGCCACCGCUGCUCGCCGCGCAGCUCGGUGCACUCGGAGUGCGUGAUGAUGCCGGUGGUGCUGGGCGACCACGUGUCCAGCAGCACCUUUCCGCGGAUGCACUACAGCUCGCACUACGACACGCGCGACGACUGCGCUGUGGCCCACGCGGGCGCCAAGAUCAACCGCAUCCCGGCCAACCUGCUGGACCAGUUCGAGAAGCAGCUGCCGCUGCACCGGGACGGCUUCCACACGCUGCAGUACCAGAGGACGUCCGCGGCCGCCGAGCAGCGCAGCGAGAGCCCCGGGCGGAUCCGCCACCUGGUACACUCCGUGCAGAAGCUCUUCACCAAGUCGCACUCGCUGGAGAGCUCCUCCAAAAGCAACGCCAACGGCACCAAGGCGGACGGCCGGGCGGACGACCACCACCACGCCCACCACGCCAAGCACAGCAAGAGGAGCAAGAGCAAGGAGCGCAAGCCGGAGGGCAAGCCCCGGCCCGGCAUGAGCAGCUGGUGGAGCUCGGACGACAACCUGGACAGCGACAGCACCUAUCGGACGCCCAGCCUGCUCAACCGGCACCACCUGGGCCCCGUGGCCCACUGCUACCCCGACGCGCUGCAGAGCCCCUUCGGGGACCUGUCCCUCAAGACCUCCAAGAGCAACAACGACGUCAAGUGCUCGGCCUGUGAGGGGUUGGCGCUGACGCCUGACGCCAAGUACCUGAAGCGCAGCUCCUGGUCUACGCUGACGGUCAGCCAGGCCAAGGAGGCCUACCGCAAGAGCUCGCUGAACCUGGACAAGCCGCUGCUGCACCAGGACGCCAAGCCCGCCCUGAGGCCGUGCCACUACCUCCAGGUAAGCAGGCUCACGGCCCUGUGGAGGCCGUCUCGGCACAGCAGGUGGUAUUGUCGUUAUUCCUUUUUUAAUUGACAGAUAACAACUGCAUACACAUUUAGGGUGUGCAACAGGAUGUUCUGAGAUACGGAUAUGUUCUGGGACAGCUCCACCGAGCUGUUAACACACGCAUUACCUUACAUACGUAAUUUUUUUGGUGGGAGCACUUAAAAUCCACUCUGGAUGAUUUCCACGUAUUCAAUACGUGGUUGUUAACUGCAGCUACCGUGCUGGCCAACAGGUCUCUUGAGCUGACCCCUCCUCACUGAAAUGUUGUCCUUUGACCAACAUCUCCCAAUUCUUCCCCAUCCCCAGUCCCUCUGGUAACCACGGUUCCACUCUCUGCUUCUAUGAGUUCAGCUGUUUCAGAUGCCACCCGUGAGAGCGACCAUGUGGCCUCUGUCGGUGUGCGCCGGGCUCAUCCUGCUUUGCAGUUUCUUCCAGCUCACCUGUGUUGUGGAGAAUGGCAGAUCUUCUUUCAAAGACUGAAUAGUGUCCCUUGUGUAUGUACCGCAUCUUCUUUAUCCAUCAUUUGCCGGUAGACUCGAGGAUUGACGGCACGCUAUGGCUUUGUGCGCGGGGCUGCAGGGAUGGCAGGACGUUAUCUACGGGCAGCUCUCAUGCGUGAGUCUGGCCUGCUCUGGGAGGGCCUCUGAAGAUCCCGACUCCUCCUUGGAACCAUCCCUCUAAACACAGUGGGCCAUUUCUUUAAGGCCUCUAAGGCUGGAGGGUUUAACAACCACAACAAACACAGACUUGCCCAUGUGGGUGUUUUCCAUGUGAGAGCUGAUGGACCGGCCUAAUGGAAAUGGGCCUGCGACAUUCGUGAGUUCACUCCCUGCACCUGGCCACAGCCUCUCUAAGCACCCCCCACCACAAAAAGCCUGAUUAUGGAAAAGGCCUCUGUGUCUCUGGGGUGUGGAUUAAAUGAAUUUACCAAAGGCAAAAACAAAGAAGGUAGAUCCCUAGAGCUGGCAUAUUGCAGAAUUCCCUGUUUUAUGUGAUUUCACUCUCUGUCUCUGAAUUGUGCCAUGCCUGAGUUUACUGGAGAAGACCUCUGGGAGGCAUAGGCUACUUCUGAGGAUGCCGCUCCGUGACUUCCAUCAGUCGAUAGCGCUGUUAAAAAAAACAUAACAUGUGUGUCCCAACUCACAAAUCACUCUUGCUUGCCUAGAGCAGCGGCUGUGGGCCUCGCAUCAGGUUAGAAUUGUCUUCAUGGAGUAAUGGGCCAUUGCUGGCUGAGCCAACAGGCAGUCAACUAAUGGGACGGGGGGACUAGCAGCCGUGAUUCUUUCUGGGAGUCGUGGUGGCAAAUCCUUCCAGUGGCACCGUCACCAUCAGUUCCAGCGUCCACGUCUCAACAGCUCUAUUUUGAAAGGAAAUGCUAACCAAUUUGCCUUUGCAGGCAGAUUUAUUCAGAGACAAAUUGGUAGUUGCAUAAAAUAUUACUUUAUAGCAAUGGAAGAGGCGUAAAUUUUGUUUGCCGUUGGGAAACCCUAAUCAUAUCCAAAUGUAAAAGUUGUGUCUGCUUGUUUAGAGAAGCCUGG